UGGCUGCUAGUUUCCUCCUUUGAAGUGUUUUAAAUUAGUCAUGCAGAUUGCAGGCUUUGGCUCAUUGUUGAAGUUCAUUGGUCGUUAUGUUAAACUCUGAUGGAAAGUUGUCUCAUUGACAAUCAUACCAUAUUUCUUUUAUUUUUAUAUUGAUUUUUUUUAAUGAAAUUCCUUUAAAUUAUGUAUUAUACCUGUUAUUUC
rnacentral:lncRNA from 1 species